ensembl:lncRNA novel transcript
UUACGUUGACUGAAGUAGAUCAUAUUUGGCAAAGCUGUAGGUGACAGGGAAAGUUAAUCAACUGGAAGGAAAUGGAAGGGAAGAAUGUGGUCUACCUCUUCUCUCUCUACUUGAAAUUCAAGCAAGACCUUGGAGAAUACAGGUGGAGCUGGACCUGCAACCGGUGAUUGAACUACCAGUUUCUGAAGGCCACCCAUUCACACCUAUUUCCCGCUACUCCAGGCUAUCUGCAGCUGGAGGAGGCCGUGAGUCACCGUUUUGAGCCUAGAGAUGUAAACAGAAGUUGCUGGGAAGAGCUUCUAGGAAGCCUCUGUAAGAUGAUUAUCUCAGUUGGGUCUGUCUUUUUGCUUUGUCCAUCCCUUUUUUAACUUUGGAGUGUGCGUGUGAUACAGGAGGUGAAGCAGUCAUUUUGUGACUAUGAGGAGAUAAAGCCACAUGGGUAAGUUGGCAGAGCAGGACACUGGGAGAAGCAUGUGCUUCUGUUGGCAAUGAGGGAUCAUCAUACUAUUCCUAAACAGUCUAAGUCCUGAGGUCUCGUGUGUGUUCUUACUUGUUCAUUACUCUACUUUUUCAGGUUGUAUAUUACUUACAGUUCAAUACAAUCUAAACCUUAACCAGUCAUUCUCCUAGUUAGACUGUGAGCUCCUAGAGGGAAGUUUGGCAUGUGAUAUGUUUCUUAUGGUCCCUGCAGUAUCUAGCACGUGCUAGUAGGGAUCAGGUAUGCAAUACUCAUCUAUUGAUUGAUUUGGGAUACAGUGAGUUGAGGUAAGAGAGAAACAGAAGUCAACUCCAACACGUCAAAGAAUAAAGUUUGCUGUUGGUCUCAACAGCCCCAGGGCAUCUUUACUGCAGUGUGAUCUCUCUCUCCUAUCCAGUGAGGCUCCAAAAUAUGGCUUUAAUUAUCCUUCCUAAGUUUUACAAAAUUCACUGAGCUUUUGUCUUUAAAACAGUAUUCCUUCCCCAUCUCUGGUGUGAAAAAAAAAUUACGACCAGAGUUUUACAUCUUUUUCUUUCCGAUAUUUCCAGAAAAGUAUGCCCUAGUCUAAUUUGCAGGUGGAAAUUGAAAAUGUAUCUCGCUGACCUCAAGGGAUGAUAUUCAGGAGCUUCAGGGAAUCUUCAGCUAAUGGGAGAAGCACAAGCAGAUUAAUGGAUCCCAAAGACAAAAUGCCUAUCCUAGCUCAAAUGACAUCUCGUGGAUCUUGAAAAGUGGAGCUUUCUGUGCCCAUCUUCAGAAAGAGACAUCAGACAAUCUUAACAUUUCUGCAGCUGAACAUGGGAUGAGAAGAGGGCAAUCUUCCAGUGGGUCCACCACAUUUUCUUUCCAAUUGAGCCAAUUCAUGGUCUCUUCUGGCAACUGCAAGGCCAGAUGUGAAUUUACCACUUUAUUGAGUGAAGCGGUCUGGGCAUUGUGAGACUCACAUAUGCACCCAGAGGGGAAGGGACCCUCACUCUGGGAAUGGAAAUCAAUUCAUAAUUGUACCCAGACAAAUGGGGCACACACUUCAGAUCUAUUACAGGAUUUAGUCGGAAUCAGAAGAACAAAGGCAUAAAGUAGAAACACAUUCAUAUGCCAGGCACAGGUAGGGGCUGGGGAGGGUAGAAAGUCCAGGGUUCCUGGCCGGCGAAGAAGGGCUCUGCUCAGCAUCUCAUGCUGGAGUGCAAGAGUAUAAAAUAAGGUAACUAAGGACAUGAAGCUUGGCCGCCUGCACCAUUUGAAAAAAGAAAAAUCAAACUGUGUUUUAUGAGUUUUUCUGGCUGAGUGGGCUGAUGGUAAAAGUGAUUGCAUAAGUGAAUAAAUUGAAAUAUGUAUCCUGGUUGUGUCAAAAGCAAAAAUAAUUAUUUUGUUCUUGGUGAGAUAUAGUGUUUAACUGCCAACACAUCAACCCAAAUAAAAAGGAAAUCUGCCU